UGUUAGACAUUUUUUCGUGGCAUUGUUCUAUACCCUCUGAAAGGUAGAUAGAAGUUGUGAUCGAUAACUGGAAUCUUGAAUAAAAAGCAAAAUGUUUGUUCUUCAAAAGACAAUUGGAAAUGCACGAUUGGCAAAACAUAUUGUACAGCAACGGAGAACCGUAGUUGAUUUACCUCCGUCAGUCAAAUUAUCAUUAACUGAAAAAAUUCUCGCUGGAGUAGCACUUACUGUAUCGAUUUUGGGAACACCUGCAUAUAUUUCAUACAAUCUGAAGAAUUAUAGUAAGAAGUAAGAUGAUUCUGUAAUGACAUUCUAUAAUAGUUGAAAUCAGCUGUAACGUGACUGUUAUGCUGUAUUAUUUAGAAUUACUAUAAGAUCAUGUAUUUACAAAUUUAAUAAUAAUUAAAAUACAAAAACAUA